CCUACGGGCUGCAGCAGUGAGGAAUAUUGGUCAAUGGCCGUAAGGCUGAACCAGCCAAGUAGCGUGAGGGAAGACUGCCCUAUGGGUUGUAAACCUCUUUUAUGCGGGGAUAAAGGUGUCCACGUGUGGAUGUUUGCAGGUACCGCAUGAAUAAGGACCGGCUAAUUCCGUGCCAGCAGCCGCGGUAAUACGGAAGGUCCGGGCGUUAUCCGGAUUUAUUGGGUUUAAAGGGAGCGUAGGCCGGUCUUUAAGCGUGCCGGGAAAUUUUGUGGCUCAACCAUGAGAGUGCGGCGCGAACUGGAGACCUUGAGUGCGCGGAAGGCAGGCGGAAUUCGUGGUGUAGCGGUGAAAUGCUUAGAUAUCACGAAGAACCCCGAUUGCGAAGGCAGCCUGCCACAGCGUUACUGACGCUGAAGCUCGAAAGCGCGGGUAUCGAACAGGAUUAGAUACCCGGGUAGUC
rnacentral:rRNA from 1 species